ACAGCGCAAUAGGUGUGAAUGCUAGGAUGCACUGGGUUGGCUCUGACUAAUAAUUGAUCAUGCUGUAAUGUUGAAGUAAAAAUGAACCUGGUAUGAGCAGGUGCAUAUAAAGUCAAGAAAGGUUUGAAAACGCUUAGUUUGAAGGCAUCUUUUGAAGAAAAAAUGUUGGCGAUGCAGCUACUAUCGUUGACUCUCAUUGCAUGUUUUGUUUUCUGCCUAGGUGUCGCAGACGACGACGACGAGUCAGAUUCCAGGAAUGAAAAUGAUGGGCCCACGGAGAAGCCUGGCGCAAAUGAGAGUAAUGUCGGCUAUCUUUGGUUCCAUCACUCGGUGACGCCGCGAACGAGGACUCCGGAUUUUCGCGUUCAUACCUUACGUUCUGGCGUUCAUACCUUACGGCUUUCGGCGGCUUUACUCGGCCCAAUGCUCAAACAUGUAAUUAGGUGUGGAGCGUUUAAUUUCUAUAAUCAUAUUUUCUAAAAAUUC